rnacentral:rRNA from 1 species
UACGAAGGGGGCUAGCGUUGUUCGGAAUUACUGGGCGUAAAGCGCACGUAGGCGGACUAUUAAGUCAGGGGUGAAAUCCCGGGGCUCAACCCCGGAACUGCCUUUGAUACUGGUAGUCUCGAGUCCGGAAGAGGUGAGUGGAAUUCCGAGUGUAGAGGUGAAAUUCGUAGAUAUUCGGAGGAACACCAGUGGCGAAGGCGGCUUCCUGGCCUGUUCUUGACGCUGAGGCGCGAAAGCUAGGGGAGCAAACGGG